rnacentral:rRNA from 1 species
CGUUGUUCGGAAUUACGGGGCGUAAAGCGCACGUAGGCGGGUAUUUUAAGUCAGGGGUGAAAUCCCGCAGCUCAACUGCGGAACUGCCUUUGAUACUNGGGUAUCUUGAGUAUGGAAGAGGUAAGUGGAAUUGCGAGUGUAGANGGGAAAUUCGUAGAUAUUCGCAGGAACACCA